GAAUUUAAGGGAAUCCGGUUCACGCGCACAUCCUUUCCGCCAUCAUCACAAACAUGAGCCAUUUUGGGGCAGUUUGGGUGCAUUUCUUAAUGUUACUCUGUUUUUGUUAUAAGCGAAGCUCCUGGUACAAGUUGCACUUCCUGAUUUUCCAAGCUCCUCUUUUUUUGGGGGGGGCCAAAAAGCAGCUUUUUCCACACAAUCUGUUCUUCCAAAAGCUGUUUCCUAUCAAUCACUGGCAUCUGCAAAAAGGGCGGAAAACACCCCAAAACACACCGCCCCCCCCCCAACAUACAUCCCCCCCCCCCUCACAGCACAAUCCUGACCUCCAUCAAGUCAAAAAAUACACAGAAACGCCCCCAAAAUUUCAACGAUUAUAAAAAAUAAUAAUAAUCAUCAUCUUACUUCUGAGAGUCUCAGUUACCCAAAUCUGUGGCUUUUAUCCUCAAAUCUCCCUGCAGAAAAGCUCCUGGAUGCUGAGAUUUUUCCCCUUUCUCGGCUCAAAUCUUUCAAUCCUGAGGGUCCAUAGUUUUUAUUUCCUCAUCUUUUUUUUUCUCAUCAUUAUUAUCUUAAAUUGCCUUUUUUUUGUUGCCUAUUUUCUUCCUUAUUUUUGCCUAUUUUCUUGCUUAUUUUUCCCCUAUUUUCUUCUUUCUUUUGCCUAUUUUCUUGCUUAUUUUUCCCCAUUUUCUUCUAUUUUUCCUAUUUUCUCUAUUCUUCUGUUUCUUCACUUUCUAUUCUUCUCUACUUCUCCUUUUCUCUUCUUUUUUUUCCUAUUUUUCCCCAAUUUUCUCUAUUUUUUCUGCUUCUCUUCCAUUUUUUCCCCCCCUCCCCCCAUUUUAAACACCUCCGUCCUUUUUCUGACGCCAUUUUCCAGCGUUUUCGCUGUUGUUUUUGCUCCUUUUAUUCCCAUAUUAUUCCCCCUCCCCCGUUUUUAUCCCCACUGCAUUUUGCCAACCCCCCCCCAACAACAAAAAAGGCCCCAAAUCUUUGGGAUGGGGGUUAAAAAUCCAACCCCUUUCCUUUUUAAACAAAGGAAAACACCCCAAAAUUGACCUUUUUUUUCCCCCACUCAUUUCACUCGGUGAGUUGGAAAACGCUGAAAACUCUUUAUUUUCCCCCAUUUAAUUCCCUCUUUUCCCAGCAGUUUCCCAUCCCCGUUCUUACCCCACCAUCCCAUCCGCCCCUUCUCACUCAAUUUGGCCCAAAAAGCACCAAAAUAUCCCUAUUUCAGCCCAUUCUGCAGCAGUGCUGAGUCACGCUGCAGCCACGCUCGGCCCUUUAAAUGGGAAACCGAACCCCAUUUUAAUGCAUUUUAGGGGCAUUUCCGCUCCAGGUAACAACACCCUAAGAUUAAAGACACCCCAAAAACACACCAGACCUCUCAUUAGUCCUCAAUUAACGUUAAUUAAUGCUCUGACGACACGGGCGGCACCGGGGACCUUUUCCAUAUCGGAUUUCAAGGCGUUUCCUGUAAAACCAGAGAGAAAAACGCUGUUGUUAAUCGGUUUCUAUUGUUCUGAUGGAGCAUUUUGUGAUUAAAAACCCCAUUUCUUCCCCAUUUUUAUUGGUCCUUCCAUCACCCCAAAGCCCCAGAGUGGGAUCAGCCCCAUGGGUGCAAUGUGAUUUGCACAUUCCUGCUCAUACACACCCUAAAAACCCCAAUUAAAAAGCAAAAAUAGCCUAUUAUCCCAUAUUUAACAUUACUAUUAAAGUCUCGUUGGGACAACUCAUGUUUUUUAGCACAAAAACAGCCCCAAAAAGACACGUUUUUACUUCAGAAAUGACCCCCUGGGAGUCACCUGAAGGGCCUUUUACACUCAGAAAGACUCUGAAGAAAAAAAACAUCGUAUUUUCAUACAAAAACAUCAUUUGUUUUACUAUUAAACGUCAUUUUUGCUUCACUGAACCAAAGGGCUGAGAAUUCCCUGAAAUUUGAGGAGUUUUUUGGCUCUUUUUUGGGGUUAUUUCGAUGGUUUUUGGGUCUUUGAUUCAUCACCCUCCCCCCCCCCCCCCCCCCCCCCCCCCCCCCCCCCCCCCUCCCCCUCCCCCUCC
ensembl:lncRNA